AAUUGUUUUGUGUUGUAAUAAUAUAUUUCAUAAACAACGUACCAUAUUUACACACGUGUAUGUUGAAUUAUGCAGACUAUCGUUUUUAUCUAUGUUUAUUUAGACGUGUUUACAAACUUGCUAAGCUGUUCCAGCUAAACUGUUACCGGUAAAGUUUGUUCUCAUGAUCAAACUCAAGAAACUCUAAGUACAGAUGAUUUGUUUAACGUUAUAUGUAUUUUACUUUUUACUUGAAGCUUUCUUAGAUUUUGAAACGAAGUAAACACGUAAUGUGUGUUGCUAAUGUUGGGCCAUGUAAUACAUUAACGUUUUAAUGAAUAGUCUAACGAUUUAUAAUCGUUGUACUCUAUUAUUAUAAUAUGUCUUUUUGACUGAAUACAUGUUUGUUUUAUUUGUCUAUAUCCUAGAUUCGCAGCUGGACACAUCCUUCUACACUGUACGCAAAAACAUGCAACAUCAUUACACACAGUAUAAGGAGUCAGACUGGCAUAUGAGGAGCAAAGGAACCCAGGCAGUAGCAUCGUUUCACAAUGUUUCAAUCACCAUCAUCAGUGGAUGCCUUUGCCGUCCGUACCCUGAGAUUUCAGAUUUGCAGCAAAAAAUUUGACUUUCCCAUUUAUUGGAAUGCUGUGCAGGUUGUACCUUGCAGCCAUCCAUUACAAUGUCACCAAGCCGUAACAAAAGCAGGAGAGGGAAAGUACAAGGCUAUGUUCCCAAAACACACAAGUGACAUACUUUAUGUGGAUGAUGUGAUCAGGCUUGUGUUUGAUGAGGUAUUUGAAGAUAAGCUGAAGGAAACCCCGAUUCCAAUGGACCUGGCAUCACAGUUUGAGAGACCUUCAAAUGAGGACGUGAUUGCAUGCCAUCUUCAGUGUAGGGGUCGUCGGAAGCCAACAUUCCGAUCAGGAAGCUCCAAGCAUAUCUGGAGAACAACACACGACAGGAUGAUAACCUUAUAGUGUCGUCUUAAAUAGCACCAGCUGACAAAGCUUUGAUAUGCCAUUUAUCUGAAUAGAUAGCUGUAAGAAGUGAAUUGAACAAUUUUUGAAAGAAGAGCACAAUAUGGUUACUAAAGUAUGUUUAUUUGUAUAUUGUUUAACAUUUAAAUAUAUAUUUGUAAUAAAUAAAUAAACUUUUGACUGACUAC